rnacentral:misc_RNA from 1 species
GGGUGCCAUUGCUGAGGCUGGUGGCAUAAAAGCUUUGGUUGACCUUAUUUUCAAAUGGCCCUUUACCAAUGAUGGAGUUCUUGAACGUGCUGCUGGAGCGCUUGCAAAUUUAGCUGCUGAUGACAAAUGCAGCAUGGAAGUUGCAGAGGCAGGUGGUGUCCAUGCGCUGGUGAUGCUUGCUAGACACUGCAAUUUUGAGGGAGUGCAAGAGCAGGCU